rnacentral:rRNA from 1 species
GACGAACGCUGGCGGCGUGCUUAACACAUGCAAGUCGAACGGAAAGGCCCUGCUUUUGUGGGGUGCUCGAGUGGCGAACGGGUGAGUAACACGUGAGUAACCUGCCCUUGACUUUGGGAUAACUUCAGGAAACUGGGGCUAAUACCGGAUAGGAGCUCCUGCUGCAUGGUGGGGGUUGGAAAGUUUCGGCGGUUGGGGAUGGACUCGCGGCUUAUCAGCUUGUUGGUGGGGUAGUGGCUUACCAAGGCUUUGACGGGUAGCCGGCCUGAGAGGGUGACCGGCCACAUUGGGACUGAGAUACGGCCCAGACUCCUACGGGAGGCAACAGUGGGGAAUAUUGCACAAUGGGCGGAAGCCUGAUGCAGCAACGCCGCGUGCGGGAUGACGGCCUUCGGGUUGUAAACCGCUUUCGCCUGUGACGAGGCGUGAGUGACGGUAAUGGGUAAAGAAGCACCGGCUAACUACGU